rnacentral:rRNA from 1 species
GACGAACGCUGGCGGCGUGCUUAACACAUGCAAGUCGAACGAUGAAGCUGGAGCUUGCUCCGGUGGAUUAGUGGCGAACGGGUGAGUAACACGUGAGCAAUCUGCCCUUGACUCUGGGAUAACUGCGGGAAACUGUAGCUAAUACCGGAUACGAGGCUCGAAGGCAUCUUCGGGUCUGGAAAGAAUUUCGGUCAAGGAUGAGCUCGCGGCCUAUCAGCUUGUUGGUGAGGUAAUGGCUCACCAAGGCGACGACGGGUAGCCGACCUGAGAGGGUGACCGGCCACACGGGGACUGAGACACGGCCCAGACUCCUACGGGAGGCAGCGGUGGGGAAUAUUGCACAAUGGGCGAAAGCCUGAUGCAGCAACGCCGCGUGAGGGAUGAAGGCCUUCGGGUUGUAAACCUCUUUUAGCAGGGAAGAAGCGAGAGUGACGGUACCUGCAGAAAAAGCACCGGCUAACUACGAGCCAGCCGCCGCAGUAA